GAUGAACGCUGGCGGCGUGCUUAACACAUGCAAGUCGAACGGACGGGCGCGAAGCUUGUUUCUUGGUUGUUAGGGGCGGAGGAGUGAGUAACAAGUGGAUAAUAUCCUUCUCCGUCUGGCAUAAUUACGGGACACCGGCGUUAAUACCAGAGGAUAUUCUGAACCGCUUGGUUCAUAGGUGAGAGACGGUCUUUGUGUCAGUUAUAGAUGGAUUCGCGCUGGAUUAGCUAGUUGGUGAGGUAACGGCGUACCAAGGCUACGAUGCAUAGCCGACCUGAGAGGGGGGUCGGCCGCACGGGAAGGGAGACACGGUCCAGACGACUACGAGAGGCAGCAGCAGGGAAUCUUACGCAAUGGUCGGAGGCCGGACGAAGCAGCGCCGCGUGAGUGAUGAAGGUCUUCUGAGCGUAAUACUCUGCUAUUGGGGAAGAACAUAUGUGGAAUGGACUGUGCACAGCUUGACGGUACCUGGUCAGAAAGCCACGGCUAACUACGUG
rnacentral:rRNA from 1 species